UACGGGGGGGGUAAGCGUUGUUCGGAAUUACUGGGCGUAAAGGGCUCGUAGGCGGCCAACUAAGUCAGACGUGAAAUCCCUCAGCUUAACUGGGGAACUGCGUCUGAUACUGGAUGGCUUGGAUUCGGGAGAGGAAUGCGGAAUUCCAGGUGUAGCGGUGAAAUGCGUAGAUAUCUGGAGGAACACCGGUGGCGAAGGCGGCAUCCUGGACCAACACUGACGCUGAGGAGCGAAAGCCAGGGGAGCAAACGGG
rnacentral:rRNA from 1 species